UACGAGUUUGAUCAUGGCUCAGGAUGAACGCUAGCGGCAGGCUUAAUACAUGCAAGUCAAGGGGUAGCAAUACAACCGGCGCACGGGUGAGUAACGCGUACACAACAUACCAUAUACUGGAGUAUAGCUUUGGGAAACUGAAGGUAAUCCUCCAUAACAUUGCGAGAGGGCAUCUGAUUGCAAUUAAAGUUUCGGCGGUAUAUGAUUGGUGUGCGUUUGAUUAGCUAGUUGGUAGGGUAACGGCCUACCAAGGCGACGAUCAAUAGCUGGCGUGAGAGCGCGACCAGCCACACUGGAACUGAGACACGGUCCAGACUCCUACGGGAGGCAGCAGUAGGGAAUAUUGGACAAUGGAGGAAACUCUGAUCCAGCCAUGCCGCGUGAUAGAUGAAGGCCCUCUGGGUUGUAAAUAUCUUUUAUCUGGGAAGAAACACUCCUAUUCUUAGGAACUUGACGGUACCAGAGGAAUAAGCACCGGCUAACUCCGUG
rnacentral:rRNA from 1 species